rnacentral:lncRNA from 1 species
GCUCCAUGAAGUUUGAGUAUAAUCUGUGCCUGAGACCCAAGCCCCAGCACUUCAGAACUGCUCAUGCACAGGGCAGAGGCUGAUCUGGGGGCCAGCUGGCGUGGCCUCAAAUUCCAGCCCUGCCGAGCAGCACCCCAGCGAGCCUCAGUUUUCUCAUCUGCAGAAUGGGAGCCUCGUGUGGCCCUAACAGCACGGAGCCGCACAGAUGCGAUGUUGCCUCAUCGAAGCUGCCAACCCCGAGGAGAGGCCGUCACCGCCUUUGCUCAUCUGCUCCGUUCCGCUUUCAGGCAUGUGCCUUUCCCUUGGUUUCCGCGGCUGCGUGGAAGUGGACAAGGCCGAGGAUGACUAAGAGGGGAAGCCCCUGUGCUGUGAGGCUCCCAGUGGCUCCGGGAUUGCGUAAGGGCUAUUUUGGAGGCGAUUGCAGCGCGCUGAUGAAUCACUGCGAGCGCACAUGGCUCGGCGGGGGCCAGUUCUUCCUCCUGCUGCUCAUGUGGAAAGCAGAGCUUCUCAAAAUGAAUCAGCCAGAACCCUGGGCCCACCGUGGGAGGAGCAUAGAAGGUUUCCGUGGAUUUAUUAGUCAGAGCUCCGAAAAUGGUGCUGUGGUCGUCACCACCAUCAUCAUCAUCACCAUCAUGGUUUUUCCUGACAGUGGGAGUGGACUUGGAUGGGAGCCGGGGGCUCAGGGGCCCUGGGAAGGAAACCUGAAGCUACCACAGAAGUUACACUGGGCCUCCUGUGGAAUUCUGUGUGGCUUGGCCCAAAGGACUCCUGAAAGAGGAACCCUGUGCAUUUAACUGGGCUGCAGGAGCGGUGAGGGGUGGCCUGUCUCCACGGGACUGGAGUUCUGGGAUGUGCCGUUCAUCUCUCCGCAGCCCUGGGGAUUGCCCAAUCCCUGCCAUGCGGAAGGCACCAAAGACAGCCCAGAGGACCGCUGGGCUCCACACGAGGCUCGAGGUGAGCGCUGCCACGCGGGUUGGCCAGUAGCUGAGAAUCUGCUUCUUCGGCGGCUGCUGCUGAACAGCUCCCGCACAGACACGCUGCACAGCUGGCUUGAGCACACUCAGAUUUCUGUAAGCAGGAUGUCUUAAUUCAGUGGUUCUCUCUUGUGGCUGGACAUUCAAAUCACACAGAGAGCUUUGAAAAAUAACUGCUUGGACCCCCCUGCAGACCAACAGAGCUAAGCAUCUGUGGGUAGGCCCCGGAGCUGCAUUGUUUAAAGGCUCCCAGAUGUAUCAGAUGUGCAACGCCGGUUGAAACACUGCUUGGAGCUGAGUUCUGCUGUUUCCAUCCUGACCUGGGGCUCUCCCGUCCCACCAGUCCUCUCAUUUCACCUCCAUUGUCCUUCAUUUAAUUGUGAUCUGCUUCAUUUCGACAUGUCCUAAUGAAAGUGAUUGGCUGAAUGAUUUGAUCAUCCAAAACAGUAUUUGUUGGAACCCACUGUGUGCCGGUGCUGGUAUCGAAAGGACAGGUACAGCAGAAGCACGAAAAGACAAAGUCCUUGCUUCCACAGAAGCAAGGGAAGAAGCAAAUAAGCAAAUAAACAAUAUUCAUGGGCGGAGAUUAGAAAAAUUGAUCAGGGAAGGGUGGGCAGGGACAGCGGCCCUGAGCAGACACCGGCUGAAGCAAAGGCACCACAACAUGGGUAUGUGAGAGCGGAGGUGACCAAGCUGCUAAGUGAGCACUAACGUGCGUCUGAACCCUUUCCAUCCAUUCCAUCCCACUCCAUGUCACUUGUCAGGGGUCAUCCUAGAAAUAUGGCCCAUCUCAUUCCGGUCUGGCCGAGUUUCUUCUGACUUGGUUUAUCCCCCUGGAUUGCUAGUCCAACAUCAGGGCACAUGUGGCGGCGAUACGACACAUGCUGAUGCAGAGGCAGCUGAUGGAGACGACACCUCCCAGUCCGGCUCCACUCUGCUCUGGGCGGGUGUUCUCCCUGCAGCCGUGUGUUACAAUCCUGCACAGGUUUAGAGAGGAACCGGAAGUCUCUACUGCAGCUGUGUUUCCGCAUGCACAGUUCUAUGGACCCAUGGAUUUGUGUUCAGAUACUCCAGGAAGCCCUCUGGGGUUCAAUCUACAUCCCCUUCCUGGCCCACAGUCCAAAACUGCCUUCUUGGGUUAUGAAUGAGAGGCCCUUGAAUCUCACACAGAGUGGGAGUUUGACCCAGGACAGUGAGGGACCAGGAGGAGAAGUGGGAACUGACAGGACUCAGUCUGGUCAAGUCGGGGAAUCAGACAAGUGUCCCUACUCCAGGGUCACAGGGGGGCCGGGCUGUGGGGUGGGAAGAAGGGAAGCCAAGACCGCACACGGGGCUCCACUGAGGCCUGAUGGGGCCUGCCGACUGGUUGGCCCACCUGUCAUUAACAGGUGAAGUCUGUGUUCCCUCCCUUGAAACUGACUUCCUGUGAGCUGUGGAAGUCAGUGAAGUUUUGUUCCGUGUUGCCUCAGUCUGGGCCAUAAAGGCCCACAGAGCUUCUGCUUGGUUCCCUUGGAUCACCUACUCUGGAGGAAGCCAGUGGGCAUAUGAAAGUUUGACAACCCAAGACAGCUGUGUUGGAGAGGUGCUUCUGGCCCUAGCCGGGAGCCAGCCUCAACCGCCAGCAUAUUGGACAGAGACUGGCGAUGCAGCCUUGGAUGCUCAGUGAGGCCUCAGCACAGACGGAUGCAGCAGUGGCUGGGACGGACUCCAGCCUUGAGAGACCCCAGGCAAGAACUGCCGCGUUGGGCCCUUUGGGAAUUCCUGACCCACAAAACCAUGAGCAAGGGCUGGCCUUGCAGCAUCGUGGUAGAGCACUUCCCCAGCACUCACGAAACUCUGGGUUCAAUUCUCAGCACCACAAAAAACAAAUGAAACAACAAAAACAGAGAAAAAGAAACCCACAUGCAAAAAUAACAAAACCCAAAGCCAUGAACAAAUAAAAUAGUGGUUGUUUUACACCAC